rnacentral:rRNA from 1 species
GAGUUUGAUCAUGGCUCAGGACGAACGCUGGCGGCGUGCCUAAUACAUGCAAGUCGAGCGAAUCACCGGGAGCUUGCUCUCGGCGAUUAGCGGCGGACGGGUGAGUAACACGUGGGCAACCUGCCUGUAAGACUGGGAUAACUUCGGGAAACCGGAGCUAAUACCGGAUCAAUCUUUUCCUCGCAUGAGGAAAAGCUAAAAGACGGUUUCGGCUGUCACUUACAGAUGGGCCCGCGGCGCAUUAGCUAGUUGGUGAGGUAACGGCUCACCAAGGCGACGAUGCGUAGCCGACCUGAGAGGGUGAUCGGCCACACUAGGACUGAGACACGGCCCAGACUCCUACGGGAGGCAGCAGUAGGGAAUCUUCCGCAAUGGACGAAAGUCUGACGGAGCAACGCCGCGUGAGUGAUGAAGGCCUUC